rnacentral:rRNA from 1 species
GUCUCUUUGAAAAUUAUUAAUAAAGAGUUGGGCCUGCUCGGUGAGAAGAAAAAUUUAACAGCUGCGGUAUUAUAACUGUACUAAGGUAGCAUAAUAAUUUGCCUUAUAAAUUAAGGCUAGAAUGAAUGGUUUGACGAAAAUUAGACUGUCUUUAUUUUAUUUGUUAGAAAUUAAUUUUUAUAGUGAAAAAGCUUGAAUAAUUUAAGGGGACGAGAAGACCCUAUUGAGCUUUAUUUAUUAAUAUUUAAAUAUAAAUAUAUAAUUUAUAUUAUGAAAAUUAUGUUGUAUAUAUAUAUAUAUAUUUAAUUGGAUUUAAUUUUGAUUGGGGUGAUCAAGGAAUAAAGAUAAAGUAACUUCCUUAAAAUUAAUGAUUGUUUUUAUAGAGUAAUAAACCAAGUUUUUUGCUUAUAAGAUAAGUUACCAUAGGGGUAACAGCGUAAUUUUUUUUGAGAGUUCAUAUUGAAAAAAGAGAUUGCGACCUCGAUGUUGGAUUAAAAAUUACCUUAAGGUGUAGAGGCUUUGUUAGGUGAAUCUGUUCGAUUUUUAAAAUUUU